rnacentral:rRNA from 1 species
UACAGAGGGUGCAAGCGUUGUUCGGAAUUAUUGGGCGUAAAGCGCGUGUAGGCGGCUUGGCAAGUCGGGUGUGAAAUCCCUCAGCUUAACUGAGGAAGUGCGCCCGAAACUGCUGAGCUUGAAUACCGGAGAGGAUGGCGGAAUUCCCCAAGUAGAGGUGAAAUUCGUAGAUAUGGGGAGGAACACCGGUGGCGAAGGCGGCCAUCUGGACGGCUAUUGACGCUGAGACGCGAAAGCAUGGGGAGCAAACAGG